ACAGUACCUUGUAGGUGUUGAGGUAGACUACAGUACCUUGUAGGUGUUGAGGUAGACUACAGUACCUUGUAGGUGUUGAGGUAGAUUAUAGUACCUUGUAGGUGUUGAGGUAGAUUAUAGGUGUUGAGGUAGACUACAGUACCUUGUAGGUGUUGAGGUAGACUACAGUACCUUGUAGGUGUUGAGGUAGACUACAGUACCUUGUAGGUGUUGAGGUAGACUACAGUACCUUGUAGGUGUUGAGGUAGACUACAGUACCUUGUAGGUGUUGAGGUAGACUACAGUACCUUGUAGGUGUUGAGGUAGACUACAGUACCUUGUAGGUGUUGAGGUAGACUACAGUACCUUGUAGGUGUUGAGGUAGACUACAGUACCUUGUAGGUGUUGAGGUAGACUACAGUACCUUGUAGGUGUUGAGGUAGACUACAGUACCUUGUAGGUGUUGAGGUAGACUACAGUACCUUGUAGGUGUUGAGGUAGACUACAGUACCUUGUAGGUGUUGAGGUAGACUACAGUACCUUGUAGGUGUUGAGGUAGACUACAGUACCUUGUAGGUGUUGAGGUAGACUACAGUACCUUGUAG